rnacentral:rRNA from 1 species
UUUAACCACACCCCCACGGGUAACAGCAGUGACUAACAUUGAGCUAUAAACGAAAGUUUGACUAAAUCAUAAUAAAUAAGGGUUGGUAAAUCUCGUGCCAGCCACCGCGGUCAUACGAUUAACCCAAAUUAACAGAAAAACGGCGUAAAGGGUGUUUAAGCAUAAACCUCAUAAAUAAAGUUAAAACUCAACUAUGCUGUAAUACGCCCUAGUUGGCAUUAAAAUAUACAACUUACGUGACUUUACUACUGCUGAAGACACUAAAGCUAAGGUACAAACUGGGAUUAGAGACCCCACUAUGCUUAGCCGUAAACCUAGGUAAUUAAAUAACAAAAUUACUCGCCAGAGAACUACUAGCCACUGCUUAAAACUCAAAGGACUUGGCGGUGCCCUAGACCCUCCUAGAGGAGCCUGUUCUAUAAUCGAUAAACCCCGAUACACCUCACCCCUUCUAGCUUAACAGUCUAUAUACCGCCAUCGUCAGCUCACCCCAAUAGGGCCCCAAAGUGAGCAAAAUCAUCUAAACCAUAAAAACGUUAGGUCAAGGUGUAGCAUAUGAAGGGGGAAGCAAUGGGCUACAUUUUCUAUAUUAGAACAUAACGGAUUGCCUACUGAAAUAGAGGCAUGAAGGAGGAUUUAGUAGUAAAUUAAGAGUAGAGAGCUUAAUUGAAAUAGGCAAUAGGGUGCGUACACACCGCCCGUCACCCUCCUCGAUAAAGUAACCUUCAAUACC